GGGUUCCAGAUCGAAAAUUAUCAUGAUAUUAGGUAACUUAUUGACUGAAACAUUCAUAAGAAUUUAUAGCUGGAGCACGACUCCUUACACAAGGACUGAAAUCAUCAACAAAGCUAGCAACAUAACACAAAUAGUUACCUAACAUAUCUUGCUCCUAACAUAUAUAUUGACAAAACGUUUAUCCUGAUGCCUGAAAGAAUCACUAAACUUUUAUACCUCGGCUUCCUCGACAUUUCCUUCUUCCUCCCCACUAAUAUCUUGCUCCUCGUCGCCAUGAUAAUGCAAGUUUAAAAAUUGGCUGCCAUCGUUCUCGUCCUCAUCAAACUCUGGAGCUAUGUGCCCAGUACUACCACGAAUGAGCUCGUGCAUUAACUCGUCUUGGUUGUCCGUAGGAUCCAUUUCCACUACCUGAAACAAUAAAAAACAAAGAGAGUGCAUAAGCCCCGAGCAUAAAAAACAAAGAGAGUGCAUUAUUUUUCUCGGAAGAAUAAUUUUCCUCAUUUAUAAACCAUGGAUUAAGAUAUUCUCUAUAUAUAUUUCUUGAUCUAAUUUUGAGUCGGACUAAUUUUGGAUGUCAACACACACUACUAGCCUUAAUCCAUGAUAAGAUCCCAAACAUUAACAAACAUCUCUAGAAACUAAAAGCUCCGCAAAAAUGAAAAUCUUUUGGCGAAAUCUUCGAAGAGGGGUAAUAAUCUUAACAAAAGACAUUGCAUCCUCAUUAAGCAAAUUGGCAGGGUAGUAAAAGUUCUCCUUUUAUCGUACUGACAAAAGGAGACAGUUUUUUUCCAAGUGCCGCCUCACUCAUUUGGUUUGGGCAGCUAUCCAUGUGACUUUAAUUUGGGGCUCCAGCAACUUCGUAGUGGGACACACAGGUUUGGUAAUUGUAGUAGCGACAAUGUGUUAGUCUUUAUGGUUGAGUAGAAAUGAUUUGAUAUUUGAAAACAAACAAAUAUCUUUUUUUUUGCAGGUUAUCUUCGUAGUACCGCACUUGCUUUGUACAUGGCUAUUAUCCAAACACUACUGUAAAAGGCCUAAGCUGGGCCGCAUGUGUCACAAAAAAUAUACUUUACACCAAUAAGCUUACUUUGAAAUUAUGCAAUCAUCUAAUGUUGCCCCUGAUACAUUCACAUGGUAUGCACAUUGUAUGUUCAUCCCUCAUGGAAGCAUUGAAUAAUGGAAGCCAACCUGAAAGGGUCCUACAGUUGAUGAAAUUCAUGAAGCAAAAACAGAUACCGUUGAACCAAAAGGCUUAUUUUGAGAUAAUAGCUUCAUGCAGCAUGCUACGGGAAUGGAAAACAGCCAGUGAAAUAAUUGAGCAAUUGGAUUCCUCCCUCUCAUCCAUUUCUGUUGGCACACUAAACCAUCUUUUGAAUUUUCUUGGAACCGUGCAAGUGAUUGUUUGUCUAAAAAAACAGUAUAGUGAUGACUGUUUUUGUAUUUGCACUGAAUUAAGGAAUGCAUAUUCCUCUAAUCUGUUCACUCAAA